UGGGCAAGCAGUCCAUCGCUCUUUACAUAAGAGAGGAAAGUCCGGGCAACAAUGGGCUAACCUGCCGUUUGUUAAAAACGGGUGCCGUGUACAACAUAUACGGUAACAGACAGUGCCACAGAAACCAUGUAGCCGGUAUAUCCGGUGAUAGUGAAAUUGUGAGGUAAGAGCUCACAAAUUUAAAUUGUAAAAUUUAAAUUUGGUAAACCUCAGGUGUUGUAAGAUCAAAUAGGUUACGGAUUCGAAAUGGCCCGUUUCGGUUCAAAUGAACGCCGUAAUGGGUAGAUUGCUUAGAUAAAUGAUGGAUAAGGUUUAAAAACCGAUACAGAACCCGGCUUAUGCUUGCCCUUUUU
rnacentral:RNase_P_RNA from 1 species